rnacentral:rRNA from 1 species
UACGAAGGGGGCUAGCGUUGCUCGGAAUCACUGGGCGUAAAGGGCGCGUAGGCGGCUUGGCAAGUGGAAGGUGAAAUCCCUCGGCUUAACCGAGGAAUUGCCCUCCAAACUGCUUUGCUUGAGGCCGGGAGAGGCGAGUGGAAUUCCCAGUGUAGCGGUGAAAUGCGUAGAUAUUGGGAGGAACACCAGUGGCGAAGGCGGCUCGCUGGACCGGUUCUGACGC